UCCAAGGCCUGAGAAGAGAACAAGAUCAGCACAGACACGCUGGCACAGGAAUGAAUCAAAGCAAAUGGGGGCUGGACAAGCACCCAGAGCCUG